rnacentral:rRNA from 1 species
AUGAUCCAGAGUACCACGGGACACGUGAAACCCUGUGGGAAGCAGGAGGGACCACCCUCCAAGGCUAAAUACUACCUAGUGACCGAUAGCGUAUAGUACCGUGAGGGAAAGGUGAAAAGAACCCCGGGAGGGGAGUGAAAUAGAACCUGAAACCCUGCACUUACAAGCUGUGGAAGCACAUUUCUUGUGUGACCGCGUACUUUUUGUAGAACGGGCCAACGAGUUACGUUAAGUAGCAAGGUUAAGCACUUAAGGUGUGGAGCCGUAGCGAAAGCGAGUUUUAACUGAGCGUUCAGUUACUUGACGUAGACCCGAAACCGGGCGACCUACCCAUGAGCAGGAUGAAGCGAAAGUAAAAUUUCGUGGAGGUCCGAACCCACGAGCGUUGAAAAGCUCGGGGAUGACUUGUGGGUAGCGGUGAAAUUCCAAUCGAGCCCGGAGAUAGCUGGUUCUCCCCGAAAUAGCUUUAGGGCUAGCCUCAAGGUGAGAGAUACGGAGGUAGAGCACUGAAUGUCCUAGGGGGUAUUGCACCUACCGAAGACUAUCAAACUCCGAAUGCCGUCAUCUUAUACUUGGGAGUCAGACUGUGGGUGAUAAGAUUCAUAGUCGAAAGGGCAACAGCCCAGAUCGUCAGCUAAGGUCCCUAAAUGUAAGUUAAGUGGUAAAGGAUGUGGGAUUGCACAGACAACCAGGAUGUUGGCUUAGAAGCAGCCACUCAUUCAAAGAGUGCGUAAUAGCUCACUGGUCGAGUGAUCCUGCGCCGAAGAUUUCCGGGGCUAAAACUUACUACCGAAGCUACGGCAUCAGUAAUGAUGGGUAGGGGAGCUUCCCAUACGGGUUGAAGCAUGACCGUAAGGACAUGUGGACAGUAUGGGAGUGAGAAUGUUGGCAUGAGUAGCGAGAUGUGGGUGAGAAUCCCACAGGCCGUAAACCCAAGGUUUCCAGGGGAAGGUUCGUCCGCCCUGGGUUAGUCGGGACCUAAGCUGAGGCCGAAAGGCGUAGGUGAUGGACAACAGGUUGAUAUUCCUGUACUACCGAUAACCGUUUGAGAGAAGGGAUGACACAGUAGGAUAAGCUAAGCACACUGUUGGUUAUGUGUGCCCAAGCAUUGAGGCAGUCAAAGUAGGCAAAUCCGCUUUGAUAAUGCUGGGAUGUGAUGGGGAGCGAAAUUUAGUAGCGAAGUAGCUGAUUUCACACUGUCAAGAAAAGUCUCUAUCGAGGUUAAAGGUACCCGUACCGCAAACCGACACAGGUGGGUGAGGAGAGUAUCCUAAGGCCAGCGAGAGAACUGUUGUUAAGGAACUCGGCAAAAUGACCCCGUAACUUAGGGAUAAGGGGUGCCACCAUCAGGUGGCCGCAGAGAAUAGGCCCAAGCGACUGUUUACCAAAAACAUAGGUUUCUGCUAAGUCGCAAGACGAUGUAUAGGAGCUGACGCCUGCCCGGUGCUGGAAGGUUAAGGGGAUCUGUUAGAGCAAUCGAAGCAGUGAACUUAAGCCCCAGUAAACGGCGGCCGUAACUAUAACGGUCCUAAGGUAGCGAAAUUCCUUGUCGGGUAAGUUCCGACCCGCACGAAAGGCGUAACGAUUUGGGCACUGUCUCAACAACAGACUCGGUGAAAUUGUAAUUCCGGUGAAGAUGCCGGAUACCUGCGACAGGACGGAAAGACCCCAUGGAGCUUUACUGUAGCUUGACAUUGGGUCUUGGUACUACAUGUACAGGAUAGGUGGGAGGCUUUGAAACCAGGACGCCAGUUUUGGCGGAGCCAUCCUUGGGAUACCACCCUUGUAGUACUGGGACUCUAACCAUAGGCCAUGAAUCUGGUCUUGGGACACUGUCAGGUGGGCAGUUUGACUGGGGCGGUCGCCUCCCAAAAGGUAACGGAGGCGCUCAAAGGUUCUCUCAGUACGGUCGGAAAUCGUACGUAGAGUGUAAAGGCAAAAGAGAGCUUGAUUGCAAGACAUACAGGUCGAGCAAGGAUGAAAAUCGGACUUAGUGAUCCGGUGGUUCUGCGUGGAAGGGCCAUCGCUCAACGGAUAAAAGCUACCCUGGGGAUAACAGGCUUAUCUCCCCCAAGAGUCCACAUCGACGGGGAGGUUUGGCACCUCGAUGUCGGCUCAUCACAUCCUGGGGCUGUAGUAGGUCCCAAGGGUUGGGCUGUUCGCCCAUUAAAGUGGUACGCGAGCUGGGUUCAGAACGUCGUGAGACAGUUCGGUCCCUAUCCGUCGCAGGCGUAGGAAAUUUGAGAAGACCUGUCCUUAGUACGAGAGGACCGGGAUGGACGUACCUCUGGUGUACCAGUUGUUCUGCCAAGGGCAUGGCUGGGUAGCUAUGUACGGAAUGGAUAAGCGCUGAAAGCAUCUAAGCGCGAAGCCAACUUCAAGAUAAGAUUUCCCACCGCAAGGGUAAGACCCCAGAAAGACUAUCUGGUUGA